GCUUUGCUCUUCAGGUGCUGGACCAACGGUUUGAGUCUGAGCCUCUGAAGGCAACUCUGGCAACAGAUGCUGUGAUUGGAGCAAUGACGA
rnacentral:pre_miRNA from 1 species